rnacentral:lncRNA from 1 species
AAGGAGGCUGUGGACAUUGCCACUGAGGGCUUUGGGGAGAAGCAUGUCAACACUGAUGUAGAGGAAUAUUCCAGGAGUAGUGGAAAACGGUAUGUAUGUGUUGUGGCCAUUCGAGGCCUUUUUUUUUCCCCCUUGGAAAAGUCAAUAACUAAUACUGGAUUAAGUUUUCAUUUCUUGCCAUAGUUAUCCCAUAAGAAGAGGCUUCAAUCAGUUAUGUUCUUUUAGUCUUAAGCCCUCUCAAAUAUCUCGAGUUGAACCGAGCUUUGCAUUGUGUGUACCAGCCAUCCCAGUGUGAAGAAUCUGUUUUGAAGCUAAGGGAGCUGAUCCUGAUGCAAAACUUCAACACUGUGAGCUAGAUCAAGGUGCUGAUGCUCUAAACUUGGGGUCAGGCCGCUGCAUGAGAUUUUAAUUCGACUUGGAAUGAUUGCACCAAAAAUAAUGAAGACUUAAUU